CGCCCGCUCAGAAACUCAAAGGAAUUGACGGGGCCCGCACAAGCGGUGGAGCAUGUGGUUUAAUUCGAUGAUACGCGAGGAACCUUACCUGGGCUCAAAUGUAUGUUGACGUAUUCUGAAAGGGAUACUUCUUCGGACAAUAUACAAGGUGCUGCAUGGUUGUCGUCAGCUCGUGCCGUGAGGUGUCGGGUUAAGUCCCAUAACGAGCGCAACCCCUAUCAUUAGUUGCCAUCAGGUCAAGCUGGGGACUCUAAUGAAACUGCCUACGCAAGUAGUGAGGAAGUGGGGAUGACGUCAAAUCAGCACGGCCCUUACGUCCAGGGCUACACACGUGCUACAAUGGCCGAUACAGAGGGCAGCUACCUGGUGACAGGAUGCAAAUCUCCAAAGUCGGUCUCAGUUCGGAUCGGAGUCUGCAACCCGACUCCGUGAAGUUGGAUUCGCUAGUAAUCGCGCAUCAGCCAUGGCGCGGUGAAUACGUUCCCGGGCCUU
rnacentral:rRNA from 1 species